UAGCUCAGUUGGUAAAGAAUCUGCCUGCAAUGCAGGAGACCUAGGUUCAAAACCUGG
rnacentral:tRNA from 1 species